GAUGAAGAACGCAGCGAAAUGCGAUAAGUAGUGUGAAUUGCAGACUUUAGUGAAUCAUCGAAUCUUUGAACGCACAUUGCGCCCCUUGGUAUUCCAUUGGGCAUGCCUGUUCGAGCGUCAUUUACAACCUCAAGCUCCGCUUGGUGUUGGGUGUCUGUCUGCGCUUCUUGCGAAGACUCGCCCUAAAUCUAUUGGCAGCGGCAUCGCCGGCUUCUCGCGCAGUACAAUGCGUUAUGGAAGGCUACCGGCGGGCUUGCGUCCAUCAAGUAACCCCCCAAGUUUGACCUCGAAUCAGGUAGGGAUACCCGCUGAACUUAAGCAUAUCAAUAAGCGGAGGA
rnacentral:misc_RNA from 1 species